AAAAAAACAAACCCUGAAUUUCUAUGUCUAACGUUUGACCGUCUGUCUUAUUUGAAAAAAAAUAUGAAAAAAGUUAAAAAGACAAGUCACGCGUAAAAUAUUAAUCGUGUUUUAUCAUCUAACAACAAUAAAAAUACUAAUUAUAAAAAAAUUUCAUAUAAGAUGAGCAGUCAACCGUUAAACACGGAAUCCCAGUUUUUUUUUUUUU
rfam:Oryza sativa (indica cultivar-group) chromosome 6, whole genome shotgun sequence.